rnacentral:rRNA from 1 species
AUCCAGACUCCUACGGGAGGCAGCCGUGAGGAAUAUUGGUCAAUGGGCGGGCGCCUGAACCAGCCCCUUCUCGUGAGGGCAGCCGGUCCUACGGCUUUUCAAACUCUUUUUCCUGGGAGCAACGGGGUCCUUGCGCUUUACCGAUGAGAUUCCCCUGAGAAAACGCCUCUGCUAACUCCUUUCCAGCAGCCUCUUGACUACGGAGUCUGCUCGCGUUAUCCGGAUUUAUUGGGUUUAAAGGGUGCGUAGGGGGAGUGUCAAGUCGGGGGUAAAAUACGGGGGCUCAACCUCGCUCCGCCGUUGAAACUGGCGUUCUUGAGUGGGCGAGAAGUAUGCGGAAUGCGUGGUGUAGCGGUGAAAUGCAUAGAGAGCAAGCAGAACUCCGAUUGCGAAGGCAGCAUACCGGCGCCCAACUGACGCUGAAGCACGAAAGCGUGGGGAUCGAACAGGAUUAGAUACCCCGGUU